UAUUUCUUCAGGCUCUACAAAUCAUAAAUAAAUAGAGAUUGAAGAGCGGCUGGGAAGUAAUAGGUUAGCUAAAUCCUCCCACUCCCGUGAAGUUAUUUUAUCACUCAACACCUUCUGUUGCUUGGGCACACCGGAAUACAAGUCACUUUUCUUGAGAGAAAGGUGUGUCACCUGUCUUUUUUGUGUUUAGAGGUGUUAGCCCCUGAAAGUUGCUCCCAAACUGAAAGCCACGGCCGCCCCUGCAGGAGUGCCGUCACAGCCUCAGGACCUUGAGUUUACCAAAUUACCAAACGGCUUAGUGAUGGCUUCUCUGGAAAACUAUGCUCCUGCAUCAAGAAUCGGUUUGUUCAUUAAAGCUGGCUGCAGAUCUGAGGACUCCAACAACUUAGGAACCUCUCAUCUGCUUCGUCUUCACCCAGUUUGACUACUAAAGGAGCUUCAUCUUUCAAGAUAACCCAUGGAAUCGAAGCAGUUGGUGCUAAAUUAAGGAUUGUUAAAAAUAAGUAAAGUAAAUGAAUAGUGAAAACCCCAGAAAAUAUUCGAUUAUAAGGGAACUUUUCUGUCUUCUCAAGGCAAUUAAGAAUUUGUUAAACAGACACAAGAAGAAGGCAACGGGGGCGCCUGGAUGGCUCAGUGGGUUAAGCCUCUGCCUUCGUCUCAGGUCAUGAUCCCAGCCCAUAUCUUUCUGCCUUCACACUUAAUCCUUUCCCGGUUUAAAAGGACGGCAGUAACUCCAAGUGCCAGAACAUCAAACGAAAUUGAAAAAUUUCAUCAAAAAUGGAAGAUUAGAGAGAUCAAAAGGGCACAUAUCCACCUGAACUCUGGAACUUCCUACCUCUAUACUUUUUGUUCUGCGUGAUAUCUUUGGUUUGCUCAUAAAAGCAGAAGUCUGGGGGCAGAGGGCUAAUAUGCCCCUUGUGGGGUGGUGCGAUAUCAGAGAACACGUGUGGGGGACAGGGAGGAGGAAGAGCGCCUAUGAGAAAGCAUUAUCAAGUUGGCUGCCAUGAAGUGUGACUGUCCCCUAGGAAGCCCUGUCAACUGCAUGUCAGGCCAGUGCCUCUAGAGGGCUGGCGUGGGGGAUGCUUUCCCCACCAGCUCUCGGCUUCCAAGGGUCACAGGUUCGCCUGCGGUGUGCUGAUUGCCUGGGACUUCUGAGUUUUGCAUGCCAGGGUACCAGCUCAAGUCCCACAGCGCCCAACAGCUUGGCACUAACUAACAGGGAAGCCUUGGGGAGAUGAGACAUGUGGGGUCCAGGUGAAGGGGUGAGUUGAGGUGCAGUCCGAGGGCACAUGCUUCUCAUGGCAUCUCAGGGGUGGGUAGGAGUGGGGUGAAGCGGUGUCUCAUGUGCUCCGGCCCUUGCAUCAACAAGAGCUGCCUGUUGACCUCUGCUUUUGCAAACAAGACGUCCUUCCUUCUUCCCGGAGAGAAAACGUCCAAGUCUGAUUAGUCACAGAGUCCGCAUCCAGCUGGGAGCCAGCUAAAUUCCUGGACAAGUCUCAAGGCAGGAGGGUUUGUAAAACCAUGAUCCCUGCCCUUGCAGUUGGUGCGGAGCUCCUCGUUCCUACGCUCACCUUCGCCCUCCGCUACCCUGCGAGGUUCCUCUGAGCCCUUGCCCUUGUUGGACCGUGGUUCCUGGAACUGCCAGUCUUCUGUUCACGUGGGCCACGGGGGCAGCACGGGAUGCCUCGGUGACUUCUCCCUGCCCCCACUCUGUGUUUGCACCCCGAGUGCCUCAUGUACUCAGAAUCAGGGAAGCUCACUUGCACUCGUCCCUCGUUUCUUUGGCUCCUUGCCCACUGGCAUGAGGAAUGCAACGCACUGAGAGGAUGAGAGUGGCACCUAGGAGGUGCUGAAUUCAAUAGGACAUAGCCUGUCGUUUAAGGGACUUGGAGGUGGAGUGUCCGCAGCGGUGACCUGGAAAGGCCAAGAAUGCCUCCCCCAGAGCACAGCACCCUCCGGGCCUCGGGCACACC